GGCAGAAUGGCCGAGCGGUCCAAGGCGUGUGACUCAAGUGACUACGUAACUUCUUACGUAAGAAGCUUGCCCAAUUUGGGUUUCUCAUCAUCGUAUGAUGGCAGGGGUUCGAAUCCCCUUUCUGUCA